GACGAACGCUGGCGGCGUGCUUACCACAUGCAAGUCGAACGAAGUGGCGAACGGGUGAGUAACGCGUAAUCAACCUGCCCUUCAGAGGGGGAUAACAGUUGGAAACGACUGCUAAUACCGCAUACUGAAGGAGGGGAUUGCGUCUGAUUAGCUAGUUGGAGGGGUAACGGCCCACCAAGGCAAUGAUCAGUAGCCGGUCUGGGAGGUAGAACGGCCAAAUUGGGACUGAGACACGGCCCAGACUCCUACGGGAGGCAGCAGUGGGGAAUCAUCCGCAAUGGACUAAAGUCUGACGGAGCAACGCCGCGUGAGGGAUGACGGCCUUCGGGGUGUAAAGCUCUGUUAAGCGGGACGCGGUACCGGAAUAGAAAGCAACGGCUAACUACGUGCCAGCCGCCGCGGUAAUAC
rnacentral:rRNA from 1 species